GUUGCGCUAUCGUUGCGCAUUGCUAGAAUCGGCGAUCGGCGUUCGGCCAUAUUUGUGUUGAAAGUUGAAAGUGAAAAGUGAAUUAUUUUUAAUUCAUUAAAAUCAUUUUACAUAAUUUUUUUUUCCAUUGCCAUUAACAAUUGGUAUAUUUUCUACUCCAACGUACUUUUGUUUUAUAAACGUUUACCGAAAUCAGCCAACAAUGUCUCGUUAUCGGGAAUGGGAUAUUACCUGCAAAGUGUAUGUGGGAAAUUUGGGAUCGUCAGCAAGCAAACAUGAAAUUGAGAGUGCAUUUAGCAAAUAUGGACCUCUGAGAAAUGUGUGGGUUGCAAGAAAUCCUCCUGGCUUUGCAUUUGUUGAAUUUGAAGACUCUAGAGAUGCUGAGGAUGCUGUUAGAGGUUUAGAUGGAACUCGCUGCUGUGGUGCAAGAAUUAAAGUUGAAAUGUCAAGUGGCAGAUCUAGACGCGGUGGUGGAAACAGAAGGGGCAGAUAUUCUUCAAGGUCAAGAGACAGGGUGUCGCCAGCGCUGGCGCUGUUCUACCACCAUCUCAUCCCCCCCUGAGACAACACAUCACCCCUCUGUCCCCAAGGCCUUCUCUGACAACACUCAACAUCUCAAAAAAACAUCGCCCGCGCCGCCAAAACGCCCAAAAACCAAAAUUAAACGUCGCAACCCAUCAUCAGUUCAGCAACAACCGCCGGGCCUCAUCGGGUUCUUUUACAAAAAUUAAUGUGGCAACAUUGUCCUUUUGCAUCAAUUCGACAAAGCUGCACAACGACCACUACUCUCCCAAAUUCGGCAACGCUGCCUGCACCCUACUACUUUAAAAGCUGACCGACUUGGAAUCUGCCGCUACGUCUGGCAACAGGGCACCACCGAAUUGUUACACACAAUCAACCAAUGAAAUUUCAGCUUUAAUUAUCUGCUUUCUACUCAACAACAAGUUAAAGUGGUCAAGAUCGCCAAGACGCUCGAGAUCUCGAUCAAGAUCUCGCCGAUCUGAUUCACGUGAUCGAAGAAGCGAUUCUCGUGACAGACGCUAAAAAGGAUGAGAUUGUUUCUUUAUUAUGAUCUAAGUUCAAAAUGAUUACAAAAACAGAUUAAUCUAGACUUUGUAUAAAUUGCAAUUAUUGAUCAUUGUUAGAAUUAUUAUAUCAUUACUUUUUACAAUUUUGAUUUGCUUAUUUAAGCGUUAUUGUUAAAAAUACUAUCAAAUAUUACAUCUACUGUAAAUAUUACGUUGUAUUUUUGAAUAUUUUUUAUACACAUUGAAGUAUCAUGGGUAGCGAGAAAUUUAAAUCAAAUGUCUAGAAUAUUCUGUAUUUUUUGCAAUCUAUACAUAAAAAUCUUUAUAAAAUCCAUCUCCCAUGGAUAUAUCAAUACUUUUUCGUAUUUUUUAUUUAGAAAAAAAAUGUAUAAAAAUGUGUAUCUUUUUUCAUAUCUAUUUUAUAUUUAAAUGCUUUUUUAUUAAGUUUACUACUUACUACGAAGUGACCAUAAUUUUUAUCACCUGCUUAGUAGAUUAGAAAAGUAAAUGUCUCGAGAUAUUAUAUAAUUUAAUUAAUAACAGGAAAGAAUGAUAUUUUUCAUAUCAAACUGAUAAAAUAACUAUAUUGUAGCUUAACAAAACUUACAUGUUAUGUGGAUUAACUGUUUUCAGAUGCAAUAAAUGGUCUAUAAAUAAAAUAGAA